GAUAUACCAAAGUCAUCAUCGAUACACGUGCACCCAAUGGAGGAAUUCUGGAAAGACAUCACUCUCUCUCCUUCCCACCACCCUAUCUCCGCCGCCGGCGCCGCCGCCACCGCCGUUUCUCACACCACGAUCCUCCAGGAGUUUCUGGCUCUACCCACCGACGGCGGCCGGCCUCCCCAUCCUCCGGCGACUGCCUUGUCCUUGAAUACUCACCCCAUCACUCCGCCUGCCCUCCCUCCCACGCCGCAUCAUCAUUUCCACACCAGAAAACGGCCGCCCGAAACCGACGGCGACGACGACGACCGGCGCCACCACGAACGCCUGAUAAAGAACCGAGAAUCCGCCGCCCGUACCCGCGCCAGAAAACGGGCUUACACAUAUCAACUGGAGAUGAAAAUAGCGCAUCUGAAACGCGAAAACGAUAAACUUAGAAGGCAGAAGGAGAAGUUGAGUAUGGAGGUGUCUGCUGGCAUGCCAUCCAAAAAGAAGAAUAAACUCUCCAGAACUUUGACUGCACCAUUUUAAGAAGAGCUCAGAGUCUUAGGAUUUGAGCCAUAUUUGGGUGGUUUUUUGAAUUCUUCUAACUAUAUUUUGGAGUCUAUUAACACAUAUGUCUUCAGGGUUAUUGCCUAUGAGAAGGAAUCAAGCUCCUCUUUGUUGUUGAAAGAAAGUGUUAUGUAAAAUUUUUGAUCUACCAAGCCAAUGUCGUGGGGCAACCUUUAUUAUGAUUUUUGUACAACAAAUUUGGACAUGUUUUGCUCAAUUAUUACUCAUCUUUUUUAUUUUCCUCCCCCAA